rnacentral:lncRNA from 1 species
ACGCGCCGCCGCAAACAAAACAGGGGACAGGGUGGAUCAGGCUUGGCUUCUCUCCUUCUUCCUCUCCUCACCGGCGGUGAACACCACCGUCACCUGCAACCAAAAGAAAACGCACAAGCAGUCUGUUUUAGUUAAUUUUUCAGAUCUGUUUUCCUUUGCUUUCCAUCAUUAUCUGUUCAAGUUCUUCGUUCUCCGGUCUGUUCUUGGGGCUUCGCCGAGAGGAGAGGGUCUGGUGCCGGUUGCAGAUCGGGCGGUGCUGCUGGCUGAUGGUGGAUCUGUGGACGGCGCUGCUGGCGGACGGUGUGGACGGCGCUGUUCGGCCGAAG